rnacentral:rRNA from 1 species
AUUGAACGCUGGCGGCAGGCCUAACACAUGCAAGUCGAGCGCGAAAGGCUUUCGGGCUGAGUAGAGCGGCGGACGGGUGAGUAACGCGUAGGAAUCUACCUGGUAGUGGGGGACAACUUGGGGAAACUCGAGCUAAUACCGCAUACGCCCUAUGGGGGAAAGCGGGGGACCUUCGGGCCUCGCGCUAUCAGAUGAGCCUGCGUAGGAUUAGCUAGUUGGUGAGGUAAGGGCUCACCAAGGCGACGAUCCUUAGCUGGUCUGAGAGGAUGAUCAGCCACACUGGGACUGAGACACGGCCCAGACUCCUACGGGAGGCAGCAGUGGGGAAUUUUGGACAAUGGGGGCAACCCUGAUCCAGCCAUGCCGCGUGAGUGAAGAAGGCCUUCGGGUUGUAAAGCUCUUUCGGCCGGGAAGAAAUCGUAUCAGCUAAUACCUGGUGCGGAUGACGGUACCGGCAUAAGAAGCACCGGCUAACUACGUGCCAGCCGCCGCAGUAAUAC